UGUCCAGGGAUGAGAAUCGAACCCACAAUGUUCCGCUUACCAGGCAGAUGCCAUGUCCACUAGGCUACCCCCGAC
rnacentral:tRNA from 1 species